AUUGAACGCUCGCGGCCGGCCUAACACAUGCAAGUCGAACGAGUGGCGGACGGGUGAGUAAUGUCUUGGAAACUGCCCGAUGGAGGGGGAUAACUACUGGAAACGGUAGCUAAUACCGCAUACCAUCGGAUGUGCCCAGCUGGGAUUAGCUCGUAGGUGGGGUAAUGGCUCACCUAGGCGACGAUCCCUAGCUGGUAUGAGAGGAUGACCAGCCACACUGGAACUGAGAAACGGUCCAGACUCCGACGGGAGGCAGCAGUGGGGAAUAUUGCACAAUGGGCGCAAGCCUGAUGCAGCCAUGCCGCGUGUAUGAAGAAGGCCUUCGGGUUGUAAAGUACUUUCAGCGGGGAGGCGUUACCCUCAGAAGAAGCACCGGCUAACUCCGUGCCAGCAGCCGCGGUAAUAC
rnacentral:rRNA from 1 species